rnacentral:lncRNA from 1 species
GUAGAGACAUGUGUAGUACUGAACGGCUCUAUCAAAAUGAUUUGUUCAUAGUAAAGAAUAAAUCGGAAGACAGUUCGAGUCUGUGCUAAUAAUAUGUUCCCCCAAAACCUACUAAAUAAAUAGAAAAUAGUAAGCGGACAAAAAGUUUUACCCAUUAUACGUUCACAACAGAACUGUAGUAUUUUUUAAGAAAGACGGUUAAUACGGGCGCAAAUGAACAUUUAUUAUUGAUAAACGCAUCGACAACCACAUCUUUAAAGCAGCUGCUUUUUAUAAAAAAAAUCACGCGAAGAGGAAAUACGGAAAUAUGUAUGAAAUUGAUAAAUCAUUUGAAUUCUUCGGUCACACGAUGCCAGUUGAAACUACAAACAUUGAAGACAUCACAUAAAUGUACCGGAACACAUCACAAAUGUCCUUCGCCACCUACAGAGAUAUAUAUCUAGUAAAAAAGGACAACGACAGAGCAACAGCUAAAUAUUACAAACAUUAUAAUUGGAAUUGGAAUUGUGAUUCUUAAACUUGGGCUUCACAGACGCGUAAAGGUGGAGGAAUGAGAACAACACAUCCAUUGUGAAUAUUAUGGCUCUCGAUUGCAAUACCAUUGUGACAAUGAAAUUCUUCAACUGACACUUAGAAUCCACAUUCUUUAACACUAAAUGGUUUAAACGUUAUGAGACAUGUUAAAAUGCCGUAAAUUUUAAUAUUCAUGAAGUGCAUGCUUAAACAAAUUUAACAUUGCAACGUGAGAUCAAACGCUUGUUUAGUGUACAAACUGACGACAAAACUCUUAAAUCCUAUCCCGUCCUAGCUCAAAGGAUGUUUCCCCCUUUCGCUGUGCAGUAUGACUACAUUUGUAUUUCAGCAUUCUUUCACCAAUUCAUUACACUCAGAUACGAUUGUCCCUUUUUGCAAUCUUCUAGUCUGAAAUGUAUGUAAAAUUAUAUAAUUGUAGUUUAUGUAAUCCUACAUUUGUAAAACACCAAAGAUAAAUCAUAUAGAUUUAACAAUCCCUUAAUGUCAUUACAAAAUAUAUCUCCUAAAAUAUUAUUUUUACAGAAAAUGGCAACACUCUGCUUAUACAAUCGCAAAUGCAUGUUACAAUGUUACCAAUAGCAUCAGUUACUUUAGAAAUUAAACCAGCCUUACAUUUCAUUAAAAAUGUAGCUUAUUUUUUGUAUACAAUUGUAUUUUCUUAUCAGACGUACACAUUUGCAAAGCUUUACCAAUUUUGCGUUCAAGAAUAGCUCUAAACAUGUAAUUUUAUUAUUUUCAUAUUUCCUAAACAAAAGCAGUCUUUCUCCAUUAACUCGACUUUAUAUUAAGAUAUUCUAUAAACAUAUAUUUUAAUGAGUAACUUUUAAACAUGUGUGAACAUAAUGAAUAUCCCGAUACUUUCGUGUUACAUGUACAACGAAAUGAAAUGGUCAAACAACUUUCAUAAAAUUGAAAAGUGGCAUCUUAGAAGUAUACUUGCCAUAAAUUGUGUCUUUGGUGCUUUUUUGUCAUCAUCUAGUAUUAAAGCCGAACAGAAUGAAAUGAAGCCAGUCAAGACUUCGGUUGCUCCGCCAGAGCAAUUCGUCCAACAAACUCUGCUAACAAGUCGGCAUUCUUUAUCGUUUUUUAAUCUAUUCUUUAAAGGAUACUAAAUAAAAAAUAUACUUAUACGUAAAAAUAGCAUUGUUAUAAAAAAUAAGAUAUGAAAUCGAGGUAUGUGUACUAUGAUAUUCAUGACUGAGUGCACUUGAAAUGACAUAUGUCGUUUGACUCCAUAUAUAUGAUUUCUAAUUUAUAAGAUGCUCGUUAAGAUAUCGUUUUCUUCGUUAGAGACUGUAUUCUUAUUUAACUUAGCACGGAAAUAAUUUGAUAGCUUUGCACCAUUUUCUCUAUCCUUUCUUCUUAAUUUUUUUCACCGAAAAAAAAGUUCAUACGUUGCAGUAGCUUAUAUAAGACAUGCGAUUUUGAUGCUUAGACAAAAUUGCCUUGUUCUGUUUCAAAAUACUAACGAACAUCUUACAGUUUGUUAACUUUACUUGAAUAUGUACUGUUGAUUUUCCGUUUUCAAAUUCCACAAGCAUUUUUUUUUCUUUCAGUCUUGUUCCAUUUUAAAUUGAUUUGUAUUUGUUAUUGUCUCAUCGAUCAAGCGUAUUUAAACUCGUUAACAUGGUAUGCCGUUUGGAUGAACUUGCAACUUGCACAAGGAAUAUUCGAUCAAGAAUUAGUAGUAGGAAAUGGAAUACAAUCAUUCAGAUGGUGAUAAUAUUUGACGCUUUCUGUAUACAUGAGUGAGGUUCAUUUUUAUGGCCUUAACAGACCGUCUGUUAAUAGUAAAAUCUAGCAAUUUUGCCC